rnacentral:rRNA from 1 species
AACGAACGCUGGCGGCGUGCCUAACACAUGCAAGUCGAACGGGAUUCGGAGCUUGCUCCGAUGAGAGUGGCGCACGGGUGAGUAACGCGUAGAUAAUCUGCCUGAUGUUCUGGGAUAACAGUUCGACAGGACUGCUAAUACCGGAUAAGCCCACGGAGACCUUGGUCUUUGCGGGAAAGGGGGGGGACCUUCGGGCCUUCCGUCAUCAGGUGAGUCUGCGUACCAUUAGCGAGUUGGUAGGGUAAAGGCCUACCAAGGCGACGAUGGUUAGCUGGUCUGAGAGGAUGAUCAGCCACACUGGAACUGAGACACGGUCCAGACUCCUACGGGAGGCAGCAGUGGGGAAUUUUGCGCAAUGGGGGAAACCCUGACGCAGCAACGCCGCGUGAGUGAUGAAGGCUCUUGGGUCGUAAAGCUCUGACAGAGGGAAAGAAGUGUAUGGUGGUUAAUACCCAUUGUACUUGACGGUACCCUCAAAGGAAGCACCGGCUAACUCCGUGCCAGCCGCCGCAGUAAAAC